GUUAAGAUGGCAGAGCCAGGCAAUUGCAAAAGAUCUAAGCCCUUUCACCAGAGGUUCAAUUCCUCUUCUUAACU
rnacentral:tRNA from 1 species